rnacentral:rRNA from 1 species
AUUGAACGCUGGCGGCAUGCCUUACACAUGCAAGUCGAACGGCAGCAUGAUCUAGCUUGCUAGAUUGAUGGCGAGUGGCGAACGGGUGAGUAAUACAUCGGAACGUGUCCUGUAGUGGGGGAUAACUAGUCGAAAGAUUAGCUAAUACCGCAUACGACCUGAGGGUGAAAGUGGGGGACCGCAAGGCCUCAUGCUAUAGGAGCGGCCGAUGUCUGAUUAGCUAGUUGGUGAGGUAAAGGCUCACCAAGGCGACGAUCAGUAGCUGGUCUGAGAGGACGAUCAGCCACACUGGGACUGAGACACGGCCCAGACUCCUACGGGAGGCAGCAGUGGGGAAUUUUGGACAAUGGGCGAAAGCCUGAUCCAGCAAUGCCGCGUGUGUGAAGAAGGCCUUCGGGUUGUAAAGCACUUUUGUCCGGAAAGAAAUGGCUCUGGUUAAUACCUGGGGUCGAUGACGGUACCGGAAGAAUAAGGACCGGCUAACUACGUG